CCCUUAGAUGUUCUGGGCCGCACGCGUGCUACACUGAGUGGAUCAGCGGGUCAGGUUGCGCGAAAGUGUUUCCUAAUCUUGAAAUUCGCUCGUGAUGGGGAUUGACGGUUGCAAUUUUCUGUCAUGAACGAGGAAUACCUUGUAAGCGCGGGUCAUCAUCCCGCGCUGAAUACGUCCCUGCCCUUUGUACACACCGCCCGUCGCUCCUACCGAUUGAGUGGUCCGGUGAGGCUUUGGGAUCUGGAUGGAAAGAGCGUUUCGCUGUUUCUGCCCGGAAAACUCAGUCGAACCUUAUCAUUUAGAGGAAGGAGAAGUCGUAACA
rnacentral:rRNA from 1 species